rnacentral:rRNA from 1 species
AGGAUUAAGCUAUCUUAAAAUUUUUAAGCACAUAAAUAGCCAGUAUUACAGGAUUUGAAACAUCAAAGAACUUAGUAAAUGGGGAAAGAAAGUUAGUAGAAAGAGAGAUAAGUACUGUAAAGGAACUAUAUUAAUUUAAUUUCAGCAGCUACAAUCAGCGUACUUUUUGCAUCACGGCUUAGCAAGAGAAGAUUGGGACUCCAAAAUCUCGAAAGUUAGUGGGCUAUUCUUCUUUGUAAUUUUAGUUUCUAUAAAUUUUAGUUAAGAGUGUAGCAAGACUCUGACAAGAAAGAAGAAUAGAAAUGAGAUUUUAUUCGCACUAACGAUAGCUAGUUCUCCUAUAAAAGCAUAGAAGUGCUGGAACAAAACUAAAAUUAAUAAUAGAAAACUUAUCAAUUUGUUUUGUAUCUUAGUUUACUGAGGAUAAGCUCAGUAAAAAUAAUAAAAUAGUAUACAUCUCAUUUAGCUAGCUAUAUGGGCUUGAAAUUAGCCAUUGUGUUAAAGUUUGUUACAAAAUAGUUUUUAUAUAUAGAAAGAUUGAUAUACUUUUUUUACAGGGGUAACAUGAAAAAUCAUGAUAUCUUGAUUCACUUAUGCUAGGAUGAGUAUUGAUGUAUAAAAUAUAUAAACAAAAAUAGAAAGAUAUAUAAAAUAACUUUGCUCAAAACAAAAUAAGAAUAAGGAAUUCAGCAACGCUUAGCUCCGCCUGUUUAUCAAAAACAUGGCUCUUUGUUAACUAAAUAUAAAGAGUCAGACCUGCCCAGUGAAGUUUUAACGGCCGCGGUACUCUGACCGUGCAAAGGUAGCAUAAUCAUUUGCCUUAUAAUUGAAGGCUUGUAUGAAUGGUUUGACGGGAGCAUUACUGUCUUUUUCUUACCCUAUAGAACUUGACCUUUGGGUGAAGAGGCCCAGAUACAGUUGAAAGACAAAAAGACCCUGUCGAGCUUAAAAAGGAAUCAGAAUAAUUUUAUUAUCCAAGAUUAAUUACUGACUAAUUUUUUUGGUUGGGGCGACCAAGGAACAAGAAAGCUUCCUCUAUUUUCUUAGCUAAUAAGCACGGAUCCAGAAAAAGCUGAUUAAAAGAAGUAGUUACCGCAGGGAUAACAGCAUAAUCUCUCUUGAGAGACCUAAUCGAAAGAGGGGGUUGUGACCUCGAUGUUGGACUAGAAUAUCCCAAAGAUGCAGAAGUCUUUGAAAGUUGGUCUGUUCGACCAUUAAAAUUCUACAUGAUCUGAGUUCAGACCGGCGUAAGCCAGGUCAGCUUCUAUCUUCAACUAUAAAACCUAGUUCUAGUACGAAAGGAUCGAACUAAAAAAAAUCUUUUUAACUGAGAAAAAAUAUAAUUAAGCUAAUAAAGCAAAUUUUAAGUGAUAACAUCAAAU